CGGUAAUUCCAGCUCCAAUAGCGUAUACUAAAGUUGUUGCAGUUAAAAAGCUCGUAGUUGGAUUUCUGCGGGGACGGAGCGGCCGGACGCAACUUGCGUCCCGAGCUAGCGCUUUCCCCGCAUCCUGCCGCGAACCGUGCUACCAUUAGUUUGGUGGCGCCGGGGAUCGGCUCGAUUACUUUGAGAAAAAUAGAGUGUUCAAAGCAGGCCACACGCCUUGAAUAAGUUAGCAUGGAAUAAUGACUAAGGACUUUGGUUCUUUUCGUUGGUGUUCGGGACUGAAGUAAUGAUUGAUAGGGACAGUUGGGGCGGUCCGUAUUCCAAAGCGAGAGGUGAAAUUCUUAGACCCUCGGAAGACGAACAGCUGCGAAAGCGUCCCGCAAGGAUGUUCCCUUUGAUCAAGAACGAAAGUUGGGGGAUCGAAGACGAUCAGAUACCGUCGUAGUCUCAACUAUAAACUAUACCAGCUAGGGAUCGGCCAACGUUUAACUUUAUCGACUUGGUCGGCACCUUAUGAGAAAUCAAAGCAUCUGGGUUCCGGGGGGAGUAUGGUCGCAAGGCUGAAACUUAAAGGAAUUGACGGAAGGGCACCACCAGCCGUGGAGCCUGUGGCUUAAUUUGACUCAACACGGGAAAACUUACCAGGUCCAGGCAUAGGAAGGAUUGACAGAUUGAUAGCUCUUUCUUGAUUCUGUGGGUGGUGGUGCAUGGCCGUUUUUAGUCGGUGGAUGUGAUCUGUCUGCUUAAUUGCGUUAACGGACGAGACCCCAGCCUGCUAAAUAGCGCGGCCGAGCUUUGCUCGGUGCGAGCUUCUUAGAGGGACCAUGAUGCGCGAUAGCACAAGGAAGUUUGGGGCAACAACAGGUCUGUGAUGCCCUUAGAUGUUCUGGGCCGCACACGGGCUACACUGGCGCCUGCAACGAGCAUAUCAGCUGGCCCGAGAGGGUCUUGGCUAAUCUUUGGAACCGGCGCCGUGCUUGGGAUUGACCAUUGCAAUUGUUGGUCAUGCAACGAGGAAUGCCUUGUAAACGCGAGUCAUCAGCUCGCAUUGAAUACGUCCCUGCUCUUUGUACACACCGCCC
rnacentral:rRNA from 1 species